UGGGUUGUGGUGUAACGGUAGCACGACUGGCUCUGGACCAGUUAGUCUAGGUUCGAAUCCUAGCGACCCAGCCA
rnacentral:tRNA from 1 species